AUGUGGGACAGGAUCUAAAGAGAAUCACGUGAGAAGAUGGCUACAUUUUUCGAAGGUAAAGAGUUGGAGUUUUACAUGAAGGGGAAAUGCACCGGCUGAUUUUAAUAAUUUCUUAGUAUUUGCAAAUAAUACUUCAUCUCUUAUGAUUUGGCUACCUGUUUUUGUUUAUUAACUAUCUGAUUUAGCUACCUGAUGAUUUUGCACGCAUCCAUGUUGUAAUUCUAAGAAGAUAAGAAGAAAUUCACAGAUUGAUGAUCAAAGUUGAAGUCCCU
rnacentral:sRNA from 1 species